GAGUGAGGUGGAUAAGGUAUCCCAAGUUGAAUAAAAUAGACUUGGUGAAGCGAACCCGGGGAACUGAAACAUCUCAGUACCUGGAGGAAAAGACAUCAACCGAGAUUCCGUUAGUAGUGGCGAGCGAACGCGGACCAGGCCAGUGCCUCAUCUUCAACUAGCAGAACACUUUGGAAAGAGUGGCCAUAGCGGGUGACAGCCCCGUAUGCGAAAGUGAUGAUGAGGACUCGAGUAGGGCGGGACACGUGAAAUCCUGUCUGAACAUGGGGGGACCACCCUCCAAGCCUAAAUACUCGUACAUGACCGAUAGCGAACUAGUACCGUGAGGGAAAGGUGAAAAGCACCCCGAUGAGGGGAGUGAAACAGUACCUGAAACCGAAUGCUUACAAGCAGUGGGAGCUCCUUUAGGGAGUGACCGCGUACCUCUUGCAUAAUGGGUCAGUGACUUAAUUUAUCGAGCAAGCUUAAGCCGUUAGGUGUAGGCGUAGCGAAAGCGAGUCUGAAUAGGGCGACUGAGUUCGAUGAAUUAGACCCGAAACCCGGCGAUCUAGGCAUGACCAGGUUGAAGGUGCGGUAACACGCACUGGAGGACCGAACCGUUAAUGUUGAAAAAUUAUCGGAUGAGUUGUGUUUAGGGGUGAAAGGCCAAUCAAGCCGGGAAAUAGCUGGUUCUCCGCGAAAACUAUUGAGGUAGUGCCUCGGACUGAAUACCUGGGGGGUAGAGCACUGGAUGGGCUAGGGGGUCGCGAGAUCUACCAAACCUAACCAAACUCCGAAUACCCAGAGUAAUAUCCGGGAGACAGACGGCGGGUGCUAAGGUCCGUCGUCAAAAGGGAAACAGCCCUGACCUACAGCUAAGGUCCCCAAGUCACGUCUAAGUGGUAAAGCAUGUGGGAAUCCCAAAACAACCAGGAGGUUGGCUUAGAAGCAGCCAUCCUUUAAAGAAAGCGUAACAGCUCACUGGUCUAAAUAAGGGUUCCUGCGGCGAAAAUGUAACGGGGCUCAAGACGUGCACCGAAGCUUAGGGUGUGUAGCAAUACAC
rnacentral:ncRNA from 1 species